UACAGAGGGGGCAAGCGUUAUUCGGAAUUAUUGGGCGUAAAGGGCGCGUAGGCGGCUUGGCAAGUGGAUGGUGAAAUCCCUCGGCUUAACCGAGGAACUGCCGUCCAAACUGCUUCGCUUGAGACCGGGAGAGGUGAGUGGAAUUCCCAGUGUAGCGGUGAAAUGCGUAGAUAUUGGGAGGAACACCAGUGGCGAAGGCGGCUCACUGGACCGGUACUGACGCUGAGACACGAAAGCGUGGGUAGCAAACAGG
rnacentral:rRNA from 1 species